GACGUAGGGCGCGAGCGUUGUCCGGAUUUAUUGGGCGUAAAGAGCUCGUAGGCGGUUUGUCGCGUCUGCUGUGAAAACCCGAGGCUCAACCUCGGGCCUGCAGUGGGUACGGGCAGACUAGAGUGCGGUAGGGGAGAUUGGAAUUCCCGGUGUAGUGGUGAAAUGCGUAGAUAUCUGGAGGAACACCGGUGGCGAAGGCGGCAUCCUGGACCGGCAUUGACGCUGAGGAGCGAAAGCCAGGGGAGCAAACGGG
rnacentral:rRNA from 1 species